GCUCUUGGAAGCUAGCAGGCCCACUGUGCUUUUCUGGUUCUCUUCGUUGCCUCCGCUCCUGGCCCACUCCACUUCCGUCCCCCUCCCUUCUCGCACCUCCUCCCUCUCUUCUCCCGACGCAGGCGAUGGCGACGACGCCUUUGCGGUGUGCGCCCCCAUGGUGGCUGUCCAUAGCUGCUGUGGAGCCGCGCGGCCGGCCCCCACCAAUCGCCGCCGGUGCGCGUUAGCCUUCAUGAUGCCUCCUCCUGGUGAUCCGCAUGGCCUCGACGAAACCCUAGGUGCUCCCUCACCGCGCGUCAGUCCCCUUGCGCUCGCCACUUGCCUGUGAUUCUACCUCUAUCCCCAUGCCAUGGCGCACCAUCUGGGCCCUGCGUUGGCCGCACAUGGUGGCCGCACCCGCUGCAGGUAGCUAUCGGCGGUGAUGUCACUAGGAAGGAGCAGUAUCUUGUUUUCGAUUUUGAUUUUGAUUUUGUCUCUUUGAUUUCUUUCUAUGUUGACUUCGAUUCCUAAAUUUUUUCCUUCUAUGGCCUGUGAUAAAAAUUCUAGAACCGUUGAUCAAGGAUAUGAACUGAUGUUUGUUCGCUUGUGAGGUACUAGGCAUGCUCACCUACCUAUAUUCUGAUCCCCGUAAGCCGGGUCCAUGUAUCCUUAAAUUUUUGUGUGGUCUGAUCCCCGUAAUUACCUCUGCAGAUUAGUUUGCCUACGAUUCCUUAAAAUUAGAUGCCUUUGUUUACCGAAUCUGAGAGAUUCCUUCAGUUUGGAUAUGCUGCCACUUGCUUCACGAUGGCAUAUGCGGCCCGACCAAUAUAUACCCGGAUCCUGCUUUUUGGAAUCUAUAUCUUCUGCAGCAUAUUCGACUAACCCGAUUGGGCCAUGCCUACAAGCUCCAAGUUUAUGAACAAAUGAUGAUUACUAUGUUUCUGAGGCCUUUAAAAAUCCUAUCUUCGUUAAAAAAACUUAUCUUUUUCAUUUCGACAUAUGAUGGUUGGUAGGCUCUCUACUUCUUUCUACUCUCCUGAUCUUUUGUUAGAUCAAUAAAUAUUUUGUUUAUCCAUAUCUAUGUUAGGACCUAUGCACCUGCUUACAUAGCAGUAGAUAUUCAGACAGUCCCAGUCUCUUUGUUCCAUUCUGUUUUUAUACAAUGAUGCUAUAUAAAUCAAGUACUUGGAAAAAUAUAAUACCCGACAUCACCUAUUAGAUUUUUGAUAGCCAGUAUUACCUAUUACUUCUUUCACAUCAAUGUCAGGUCCCAUUAGUUUUGGCACCUUAUUUUCAGUUAACAUAUAUUGUCCAAUGAUUCCUUUGCAAAGUGUCACUAUGUUUUGUUUCAGACUUCCAGCAUGUAGGCUUCAAACUAUUAUUGUUGAAACACUUUGGGAUUGUGCCUCUCUACUUUUUGUACCUAUUAUCUGUUCUGCAGGCAAAGUAAGUCCUGACAAUGUGGUUUACAGUCUUUGCACUCUCUUGCUUGAUCUCCUGAGUGGAAAGCACAUUUCACCUGAUCAUUUAAGUUUUCCUGCUCUUCAUGUGUUGUACAGCUUUCGAGAAGCAGAGUGCUCUGUUUACUCUUGCAGUUUCAGACAUUUUUACGAUAGGUUUGUAAGUUUCUGUUUCAAGUAUUACUGCUUUAUUGCAAGUUAAGAUUUGGGUGAGCACGGAGACAUUCAUUUCUCUAUUUCUGCGGUUUGAUAUUUUUACUUUGUCUGCCUUUUCUUGUGUUCUGAUUUUCCGAUCUUUGCAGAAAUCGCUAGAGUACCUAGCACAAGUUCUCAAGGAGGAUAUAUUGAAAAGGUGAAGGUCCCUUGCUACGACCUUGCCUCAGUGGGAGCACAACAGUACGACUUCUUCCUUGAUGUGCAUAGGAUAGGAUCAAAUGAUCUUCUCCAGGUUUGAUUGUCCAUAUCUAGGAUUCCUUCAUAGUUCAGUAUUGUCAUCCGUACCUAGAUCUCCUUCCUGUAAUAUGUUUCGUGCCUCCAAUCCUAUUGAAGCAUCUGCCUCUACCGGAUGAGGCUACCUAUCCUGCUCACUUCUUAUGUGUUUUGUCCAAAGAUGAACUUUAAAUGCUUCACCAUGGUUUGGAAUUAGGAUUUUACAGUGUAUGUGCAACACUGCUAUUUUUGCUUUUCUAUAGUUGAGUUAGUUUAUUUAUGUGAAAUUGAGCUAAUUUAGAGACAUACUAUAUUUAUGGUCUGCUUAUUCAUGUUUAGGAUGUGCUGGAUGGAUGCUAUGUGGAACCUUGACAACUAAAUAAUGGAUUAUUCAUUGUUCUAUAAAAAUGGCAGGGCUUCCAUAUUCCAAACCCCACAGUGCAGGGCGCAGUCUCCGGAUAACAGCCAAAGCAACCUCCCAAUUCUCCAGGAUGUGCACAAAAGUAGCCUCCACACUAGGUCAACAUGCAAAGUGAAAAUAUAGGUGCUUCCAACAAUGUAGGUGGCAUCACUACUUGCUUUUCUUUCGCACGCCCCAAGAUGUAGGUGAUUCCAGCAACAUUGCUCAGUUUGGUAUUUCCCCUGCCUCUGCCCUUGCUUGCUUUUAUAUUGUGCAUACCAGCUUCAUUGCCACACAUGAUGAUUGCUAACUGAGGUCCUUUAUUUGGUGUUUAGGACAAAUAGUUGUCACAUUUAAUGUAUUGUCCUGCACUCUUGCUAUAAUUUUGAAUACUGAUUUAGAGAAUAGGAUAAAAAGGUGUCUAUAGACUUCUCAGCUGUCAAUACUAAUGUUUAGAUGUAACCGCACACGGAUUUGUCAUGUGCCCUAUAUUUUGAAUCAAAAGUUCUCUCAAUAAUAGAUACUUCAUAAAAAAUUGAUUAAUAUGAAUCGUUAAAUAUGUUGUUAUUUACCUACUGUUGCAUCCAAACUUUGUCAAUGACAUGCUAAUUUUUUUUCUUUGUAAAUGGCACAGAGCACUACUCUGCAUGAAUUCCUUCAUAGUUAUAUACAGUUCAGGCACAAGUGGUAUGAUUUGAUACGCUGAAGUCCAAGGGGGACAGUAGCAGGUUUGGUUGUUGGGGACCUUGCGGUGUCUCCCCCCUCUCUUCCCUAGAUGUGGGCGAUGGCGGCAGUACCCUUCCGAUGCACGUCCCAAUGGCUGCCCUUCUCAGUGUCUCCCUCUUUGCUCGCCACUCGGCAGCGUCUUCUUUCCCUCUGUCUAUCUCUCUCUCCACGUGCCAUGGUGCUCUGCCUGGGACUCUGCAUUGGCCACACAUGGUAGACACACCCAGGACAGAUGGGCCUUAGCAACCCACGGUUUGGGAAGGAGCAAUCUUAAUUAGGUGCUCCUGUUUCCUCUCCUUUCGUGGUUUUCAUUCUCUCGAUUCUCUCUGAUUUCUUCCUAGGUUGGCUUUGAUUCCUAAACUUUUUCCCUGGAGACUGUGAUGAAAAUUCCAGACCCACUGAUCAAGGAUAUGAAUUGAUGUCCGUUCGCCUGUCAAUUAGUUGUGCAAUUAAAGACUACAAAGUGCAUCAGCUCCUCAACAAGAAACCACAUCCAGGUCUACCUAAAUAAGUCCUGCCAUUUGAUUAUCUGCAUUACCCCAUAAAUCGUGCUUUGAAGCUGAUUCUAACUGUGUUGCCUACCUUCCGCUCGAUUCCUUCAGUCUUUAUGCGGUACCUCUUGUUUCUUCUCCAGAUCAGCUAGAGACAAAUAUAUACGCCGAAUCAUCAUAGAUUCCUCCUGAGGCAGUCCGGUGCCUUGUUUCCUCUCAUUCUUGAAUUUGAUUCUGUCUCUUUGAUUUCUUCCUACAUUGGCUUGGAUUCCUAAACUUUUUUCUUCUUUGGCCUGUGAUGAAAAUUCUAGAAUAUUGGUCAAGGAUAUGAACUGAUGUUUGUUCGUUUGUGAGGUACUAGGCAUGAUCUGCUACUUAUCUUGUGCAUUUUAUGGGAGUAACAAAAUUAUGACCACGCCUAGAAGCUCCAAGUUCAUGAACAAGUGAUGAUUGGAAUAUUUCUGAGGCGUCUAAACUUUUCCCUUCUUUGGCCUGUGAAGAAAAUUCUAGACCCAUUGGUCAAGGAUAUGAACUGAUGUUUGUUCGCUUGUGAGGUACUAGGCAUGAUCUGCUACUUAUGUUGUGCAGUUUAUGGGAGUAACAAAAUUAUGACCAUGCCUCGAAGCUCCAAGUUGACGAACAAGUCAUGACUCAAAUAUUUCUGAGGCCUCUAAAGUUUUCCCUUCUUUAGCCUAUGAUGAAAAUUCUAGACCUAUUGGUCAAGGAUAUGAACUUAUGGUCAUUCACCUGUGAGGUACUAGGCAUGAUCUGCUACUUAUGUUGUGCAAUUUAUGGAAAUAACAAAAUUGUGACCAUGCCUCAAAGCUCCAAGUUGAUAAACAAGUGAUGAUUAGAAUGUUUCUGUGGCCUUUAAAAAUCAUGUCUUCAUUAAGAAAAAUUUUAAUCUUUUUUGUUGUGUACAUGAUGAGUUGUAGGCUCUGCACUCCUUCCCACUCUGCAUUGAGUUCUUCCUGCAAUUAAAUAGACUUCUUAUUUAUCUGAAGUGCUACCAGGCAUUGAGUUCUUCCUACAAUUAAAUAAACUUCUUAUUAUCUGAAGUGCUACCAGGUACAUAGGUACCUAAAAUCUUCAAACACUUUUGUUUUGUGAACACUAAGUAGUACGCUCUCCACUCCUUCCCACUCUGCAUUGAGCUCUUUCUGCAAUUAAAUGGACUUCUUAUUAUCUGAAGCGCUACCAGGUAGACAGGUAUGUGCAAUCUUCAUGCACUUUUGGUUUGUGAAUACUUAACGUGAUAGCAUACUACUUUAACACAGGUUGUUGGUGACAAUAAGAAAAACUACGGUUGCAAGUAAUAGUUCAAACGCUACAAAAUUAGGAUUAGUAUAUGCACAAAAUGUAGGAAGAAAAGUAAUGCCUAUAAUGUGGCUGACCUGCCACAGAUAGCAAUGUAUAUAUAUUUUAGAUGCUCCUAUUUUGUGCCCAAGCGCCACAUUUGUCAGACUCCAACAGAGAGUUAUGCUAACCGGUGAAUAACACAUUUUUUUAUAUUUUCCCCAUUCUUCUUUGAUGCACGAAUGGGCUGAUGGCACAGAAAUGCUUGUCAGUUUGUUUAUUUGUACAGAAUCAAGCACCAGUGUGACGGUGUGGCUGUGCCAGAUGUCAGCGCAGAUACGAUCGAGCUUGCAUUGUUUCCAUUCUGAUGAUUCAUCUAUAUUAGUUACAUGCAGGAUGAUAAAUUCAUGAUGGAUGCUUAUAUACUGUAUGUCUCUUUGAUCUCUCUUCACGGAAAUUUACUGCUAGGAUGAUUAGCACAACUACUAUAGUGUAUACCUAUAUGAUGACUUUUUGUCAGUGGUGACUAACAUCCAUGAACUCGAUGCAGGAUGAAGUCGAUGCAGGAUGAUAGCUUCAGUAACAACCUCUUCAGUAAAUUAGCAUCUGCACUGCAAAAAGAAAGGCUCAUGCCCUGCCAUCAACCUUAUGUGCUCUGUCAGCUCACACCACCCACCCUUUGUAUAAAGUUUAUAGUAUGUACCAUGAACUCUUAAUUGUAAAAUUCUUAUUUGUACAACAGACCAUGUAUGCACCAUAUAUAUAUUAGUGUAAUAUGGCCUCAGCUUGUUUUA